CCUACGGGUGGCAGCAGUGGGGGAUAUUGCACAAUGGGGGGAACCCUGAUGCAGCGACGCCGCGUGGGUGAAGAAGCGCCUCGGCGCGUAAAGCCCUGUCAGCAGGGAAGAAAAUGACGGUACCUGAAGAAGAAGCCCCGGCUAACUACGUGCCAGCAGCCGCGGUAAUACGUAGGGGGCAAGCGUUAUCCGGAUUUACUGGGUGUAAAGGGGGCGCAGACGGCGAUGCAAGCCAGGAGUGAAAGCCCGGGGCCCAACCCCGGGACUGCUCUUGGAACUGCGUGGCUGGAGUGCAGGAGGGGCAGGCGGAAUGCGUGGUGUAGCGGUGAAAUGCAUAGAUAUCACGCAGAACUCCGAUCGCGAAGGCAGCCUACCGGCGCGCAACUGACGCUCAUGCACGAAAGCGUGGGUAUCGAACAGGAUUAGAUACCCUUGUAGUC
rnacentral:rRNA from 1 species